CUGGUACUUGGAGGAAUAGGCUGCCUAACUUUUAGAAGAUCUUUUGUGGAAGAUGAGUUUGAUGAAUGGACCACUUUAGGAGAUUCCACUAAGCAGUUAAAGAGAGAAGGCAAGGCUGGGAAGGGACUGAUAUUUGUCGCUUAUUUGGUGUAUUUGCAGGGAUACUUUCUGCUGGGGCAGAGUCCCAAUAUAUAUAAUAAUGAGAAAAGUAGAGUUUUUGCUGCUCCUUUAGCUGCUAUCGGUUGGGUGCUGUGGAUUACUAUAAAUAACACGAUUGUUAGAUCUAAAUUGAUCUAUUCUUCUCUAAUCCUUCCCUUCAAAAUCAUUUCCCAUUUGCAAUGUUGGAAAAUGCUAGGUGUUAAGGAUGCUGAUGCCAUUAACAAAAUGACCGAGGAGCUCACAAAGACAAUGGCAACCCUGGGUGCUCAGAGAGCUAGAAUUGAUUGA
rnacentral:lncRNA from 2 species